GGACAGUACAGCGGUGGCUUUAGAGAACUCUGUGGAGUUGGUUCUCCUACUUUCAUGUGGGUUCCUGGAACAGAGCUCAGAUGGCCAGGCACGCACGGCAAGAGCCUUUACCAUCUGAGUCAUUUUGCUAGCCCACAAUUUUUUUUUUUUCUGUUUUUUUGUUGUGCUGGGAAUAGAAUCCAGGGUUUUGACCAUGUGCAGCACGUGCCUCUAGCCCCAGCUAUUCUUCAGUCACUGGGAAUAGGCAUUUAUUUAUUUCCUUGAGAUUGGGUCACUCUGGGCUUGGGCUUUCCACCUGCCUUUGCCUUUCCAAGUGGUAAGAUUAUUUUGGUGGCACCACCGCACCUACCUCUUAAGCUGUGAAUUUCUAGCAGGAUCACUACAUUCUGGCUUAUUUACUCAAACAGGAUAGUGGUGUCCAUGUUAUUUUUGAAAGUUGUAUAUGUUGUAUAAAUCUUAUUAAUACACAUUGUGUAACUAUUACAAUCCUCACCACAAUUACGUGAGGUAUUGGUUCUCACUUUACAGCUGAUGCGGCCUUGCCUCUAAAAUGUUAAGUAACUGGCCCAAAGCCAUUCCAUUAGCCUAGGUAGGAAAGCUGAACCAAAGAGCAAACCUAGGGCUUUCUGUUUCCUCAGAUUUAGUGCAGCUACCAAUCAUAUGUCCACAAACUGCUUUAAUUUGCUGAGAUCUGAAUAUAAGAGAAAAAUUAUGGAAAUAUUUUCCAUUCCAAACAAACUGAUUCAUAAGGAACUGAAAUUCAUAGAACCAUGAAGUCUUUUCUAUAAUAUUGCUGCCUUCACUCUGGCUUGCUUAUCCUGUGUCUAGGCAGAAUAGCACUUUUAUGGGGCCUUGGGGACAAAAGGGUGAUGAGUUACUAAGUUGUGGUUUUAAGCUUUUAUUAAAAGGUGGUUACAUUUGAGGCCAGCCUGGUCUUCAUAACAAGUUUUAGGUCAGCCAGAGCUACACAAUAAGACCAUGUUUUGU
rnacentral:lncRNA from 1 species